CCUACGGGAGGCAGCAGUGGGGAAUAUUGCACAAUGGGGGAAACCCUGAUGCAGCGACGCCGCGUGAGUGAAGAAGUAUUUCGGUAUGUAAAGCUCUAUCAGCAAGGAAGAUAAUGACGGUACUUGACUAAGAAGCCCCGGCUAACUACGUGCCAGCAGCCGCGGUAAUACGUAGGGGGCAAGCGUUAUCCGGAUUUACUGGGUGUAAAGGGAGCGUAGGUGGCAUGGUAAGUCAGAUGUGAAAGCCCAGGGCUCAACCCUGGGACUGCAUUUGAAACUGCCAAGCUAGAGUGCAGGAGAGGUAAGUGGAAUUCCUAGUGUAGCGGUGAAAUGCGUAGAUAUUAGGAGGAACACCAGUGGCGAAGGCGGCUUACUGGACUGUAACUGACACUGAGGCUCGAAAGCGUGGGGAGCAAACAGGAUUAGAUACCCUGGUAGU
rnacentral:rRNA from 1 species